rnacentral:rRNA from 1 species
GAUGAACGCUAGCUACAGGCUUAACACAUGCAAGUCGAGGGGCAGCAUGGUCUUAGCUUGCUAAGGCCGAUGGCGACCGGCGCACGGGUGAGUAACACGUAUCCAACCUGCCGUCUACUCUUGGACAGCCUUCUGAAAGGAAGAUUAAUACAAGAUGGCAUCAUGAGUCCGCAUGUUCACAUGAUUAAAGGUAUUCCGGUAGACGAUGGGGAUGCGUUCCAUUAGAUAGUAGGCGGGGUAACGGCCCACCUAGUCUUCGAUGGAUAGGGGUUCUGAGAGGAAGGUCCCCCACAUUGGAACUGAGACACGGUCCAAACUCCUACGGGUGGCAGCAGUGAGGAAUAUUGGUCAAUGGGCGCAGGCCUGAACCAGCCAAGUAGCGUGAAGGAUGACUGCCCUAUGGGUUGUAAACUUCUUUUAUAAAGGAAUAAAGUCGGGUAUGUAUACCCGUUUGCAUGUACUUUAUGAAUAAGGAUCGGCUAACUCCGUG